rnacentral:rRNA from 1 species
AGGACGAACGCUGGCGGCGUGCUUAACACAUGCAAGUCGAGCGGAAAGGCCCUUCGGGGUACUCGAGCGGCGAACGGGUGAGUAACACGUGAGCAACCUGCCCUUAGCUCUGGGAUAGCUCCGGGAAACCGGAAUUAAUACCGGAUAUUACACCGGCUGGCAUCGGCUGGUGUGGAAAGAUUUAUCGGCUAAGGAUGGACUCGCGGCCUAUCAGCUUGUUGGUGGGUAGAAGCCUACCAAGGCGACGGACGGGU